rnacentral:rRNA from 1 species
GAUGAACGCUGGCGGCGUGCCUAAUACAUGCAAGUCGAGCGAACAGACGAGGAGCUUGCUCCUUUGACGUUAGCGGCGGACGGGUGAGUAACACGUGGGUAACCUACCUAUAAGGCUGGGAUAACUUCGGGAAACCGGAGCUAAUACCGGAUAAUAUUUCGAACCGCAUGGUUCGAUAGUGAAAGAUGGCUUUGCUAUCACUAUUAGAUGGACCUGCGCCGUAUUAGCUAGUUGGUAAGGUAACGGCUUACCAAGGCAACGAUACGUAGCCGACCUGAGAGGGUGAUCGGCCACACUGGAACUGAGACACGGUCCAGACUCCUACGGGAGGCAGCAGUAGGGAAUCUUCCGCAAUGGGCGAAAGCCUGACGGAGCAACGCCGCGUGAGUGAUGAAGGUCUUCGGAUCGUAAAACUCUGUUAUUAGGGAAGAACAAACGUGUAAGUAACUGUGCACGUCUUGACGGUACCUAAUCAGAAAGCCACGGCUAACUACGUG